UACGUAGGUGGCAAGCGUUGUCCGGAUUUACUGGGCGUAAAGAGCGCGCAGGCGGUCGAUUUAGUCGCGUGUGAAAGCCCCCGGCUCAACUGGGGAGGGUCACGCGAUACUGAUCGACUCGAAGGCAGGAGAGGGUAGUGGAAUUCCCGGUGUAGUGGUGAAAUGCGUAGAUAUCGGGGGGAACACCAGUGGCGAAGGCGACUACCUGGCCUGUUCUUGACGCUGAGGCGCGAAAGCUAGGGGAGCAAACGGG
rnacentral:rRNA from 1 species